AUUACAGUUUGGGGUUUUUUUGAGGGUGGUGGAUAUUGUGGCGAAAAGGGAGUAUUUGGAUAACAAAUGCUAUUUGUUGUAAAACCAUUAAAAUAUUAAAUACAUGUCUGUCCUCUUUUUCUAGAAAUUUCUACAUUUGCUCUUAAACACUAAUCUGUUUGUCACUAACAAUUAAUAUUAAGGAUCCCAGACUUGAUUUUCCCAUAAAGAAGAUAGAGAAUGACAGAUGAUAUAAUGAAUAUGACAAAAUGUUAGUCCUUUCUAAUUCUUGAUUUGAUUUCUGAAAUCAUGUACCAUAAAUUGCUCUGUGGCUAAAACUUAAGUUAGGAAGUAAUUCUUUCUACCUUAAAGGUAUGUUCAUAAAUCUUAUUAAAUUUAUUAAAUACAUACAGUUAUGUAAGGUUGCACAUUUAAAUAAACAGUUAAAAAAUUACCAUCCUUUCCUUGACUGCAUGAUUAAUAUAUCCUGUACACACAGCAUUUGUUGUGCUGCCUUUGUUUCUUUCUUAGUCAGACAAUGAGAAAGAAACUGAAAAGAGAUAGGAAAGAAACUCUAAAGAUAUAUUAAUCAAAUAAAUUUUUCAUUACUAUAUAUAUAGCUUUUAUGUAUCAGCACACUUAUCUGAAAGCAAUCACCUUUAUGCUAACUACAAUGUUUUGUUAUUAAACAGGAGACUGUAGAUAAGCAAAUAUAUAAUAAAUUGUCUGGCCUUAUUCAUAUUCCCAUUUUUUAUUGAAAAACAGUAACUUAGUUAUUUGAUUUUUUUUAAGUGUAUGAGCCUACCUUUCAAAUCAAAAUGCUGGUUUGUAUGUUUUCAUAGCUAAUAAAAUAUCUCAUUAAUUGUUAGAUUCUGUAAAGUUAAGAUAUUGAAGCAAUAGAAUAAAAAUGCUUAUCAAAAUGAGCUCUGGAUAACAAUCCAAAGCCUUUUUAAGAAAAUCAGUAUCAUCUUGAGUUUGUUUCAAAAAUUCCUGAUGUGAUUGGAGAACUCUGUUUUUAGAUUGCUUUUCUGGUGUCUAAAUAUCUUUGAAAAUCUACUCCGAGGUGUUUUCUUCCUUCUCAACUUUGUUCAUUGUUUUCUUCCUUUGUCAUGUCCCACAGUGUUAUCCUGUUUGAAUGAAUGAAUCUAACAGAAAGGCUGUUUAUAGUAUUAGCUUUGCAGGAAAAAAUCUGGAAAAAAUCUAAAGAAAAAAUUUAAAGUAGAAUAAAAAUAUGUACAGCAGAGCUGAAAGCAUUGUUACCUGAACAAUUACUAGAAGUUCAAGCUGAGCUAUGUAUUUCCCAAAAUCUGUUUAGUUAAUGCUUGAAAAGAACAAAAUGUAAUAGAAUAAUUUUAAAGAAGCAAGAAGCAUUUUCAGCUUUACUCAUGAAGAGAAAAUGGAAGUUUAGUCUUCCCAGCUUUUGCUGGGAGAUGAGUAAGGGAAAACAGUUUCCCAGCUCUUCUUCCUUUAGAUAAGGGAUGGUUUGAGGAAACAAAGCAAUAGAUCCUUGCAGCUACAGAAGAGGCUGGUGCAGCCUAAAUACAGAAGAGGCAGCCUUCUGCAAUCAAGAGGGACAGAUGGAAGUUGGAAGGCCCAACAAAAGAGAAGUACUAUAUACACAGACUAGCUCUUGGUAGGAGCUAAUUCAGAGCAGGAGUAAUUAAUUUUUUUGGGAGCAGUAGAUCAGAUAACCUGCAACUCACACUUUCUCAGGUUGUCCUCCUGCCUGAGUGACGAUAUGAAUUGACUCUCCUCUCUGAAAUAUGUUGAAUGCACGUAUGACUGAGGUGUAAUCUUGUUAAUCGCUGAGAAGGAAGCUAAAAUAUUCCACUUGAGCUAAUGGAAGUGGGAUGAUUGUUACAAGAAGAGUGAGUGUUCUUAAGCAACAGUGUGCUGCUGUCCCUCCUAGCUUGACAGUUAGAAGCAAUUGGUGUAUUACUCAUCUAGAGUGGAGAAGGAAUUUUAGUUUAUCUUUAUUCUUCAUCGCUCUGUAUUUUUCAGGAAAAUACAUCAGGGUUUUUUGGCUUAUUAUCACCUGUUACAUGAUCAACAGAAUAUUGAUUCACAGUUACUCACAGAUUGUAUUGCAAUUUUUUAAAAUUUCUGAAGCUAUUUGUGCAAGAAAAACAUACUUUUUAACAGGUUAUAAAUAGAUCUAUUUUACUUAGAAAGACUAUAAGAUGAGUAUGACCAUAUAUAGAUUUAAAUUUCUGCAAGAAUUACUGUCUUUCAAAUGAUAUGGGUUGUCUGAAGGAAAGUAGUGCAUGGGAAUAGUAGAGGGAUGAUUUCUUAGCUCUACUAAAUGUAUUUAAUUCCACAGAGAAUGAUAUCUAAAAUCAGUACUACUUGUUUAAUCUGGUAUGUUGCCGGCGUUAUAUAAGAGCAAAUUAAAAUGUGUCUUAGUACUGGCAGAUGGAUGUAAAUCUUCACUGCAUAUGGAAACUAACUAUAGCUACCUCUUGGGAGGAAGCUAUUUUCUUAAAGUCAGGAUAUGAAGCAGGUUUGCACAAGUAGGCAUGUCAUUCUGCUAGGAUCUUGGAUACCUGGAAAAUCUGAAUUACCAGGGCAAGAAACCUCACACCUGCAUACUUGAGGGUCUUGCAUAUCACUUUGACAAAUAUGGGGAAAUAUUUAAAUGUGGGGAGCAUAGUCUUUUAAUAGUUGCCUGUUCUCAAGUCUGUUUUUUCCUUUCUCUAGAUAUAUAUAGAAAUGUUUUGUACGUCCAUCAUAAUAGAAACAUG